AUGUUCCGACAUUUAACAUUAAUCGACUUGAGCAACAAUAGUAUCAGCAUGUUGGCCAAUUACACCUUCAGUAAUAUGACACAGCUAUCAACUCUGAUCCUAAGCUACAAUAGGUUACGAUGUAUUCCAGUUCAUGCAUUUAAUGGCCUUAAAUCUCUCCGAGUAUUGUA